rnacentral:rRNA from 1 species
UACAGAGGGGGCAAGCGUUGUUCGGAAUUACUGGGCGCAAAGGGCGCGUAGGCGGCCUGCUAAGUCGAACGUGAAAGCCCCGGGCUCAACCUGGGAAUUGCAUUCGAGACUGCAUUGCUGGAGUACGGAAGAGGAGGGCGGAAUUCCCGGUGUAGCGGUGAAAUGCGUAGAUAUCGGGAGGAACAUCAGUGGCGAAGGCGGCCCUCUGGUCCAGUACUGACACUCAAGUGCGAAAGCGUGGGGAGCAAACAGG